GAUGAACGCUGGCGGCGUGCCUAAUACAUGCAAGUCGAGCGAACAGACGAGGAGCUUGCUCCUUUGAUGUUAGCGGCGGACGGGUGAGUAACACGUAGGUAACCUACCUAUAAGACUGGGAUAGCUUCGGGAAACCGGAGCUAAUACCGGAUAAUAUUUCGAACCGCAUGGUUCGAUAGUGAAAGAUGGCUUUGCUAUCACUUAUAGAUGGACCUGCGCCGUAUUAGCUAGUUGGUAAGGUAACGGCUUACCAAGGCAACGAUACGUAGCCGACCUGAGAGGGUGAUCGGCCACACUGGAACUGAGACACGGUCCAGACUCCUACGGGAGGCAGCAGUAGGGAAUCUUCCGCAAUGGGCGAAAGCCUGACGGAGCAACGCCGCGUGAGUGAUGAAGGUCUUCGGAUCGUAAAACUCUGUUAUUAGGGAAGAACAAACGUGUAAGUAACUGUGCACGUCUUGACGGUACCUAAUCAGAAAGCCACGGCUAACUACGUGCCAGCAGCCGCGGUAAUACGUAGGUGGCAAGCGUUAUCCGGAAUUAUUGGGCGUAAAGCGCGCGUAGGCGGUUUUUUAAGUCUGAUGUGAAAGCCCACGGCUCAACCGUGGAGGGUCAUUGGAAACUGGAAAACUUGAGUGCAGAAGAGGAAAGUGGAAUUCCAUGUGUAGCGGUGAAAUGCGCAGAGAUAUGGAGGAACACCAGUGGCGAAGGCGACUUUCUGGUCUGUAACUGACGCUGAUGUGCGAAAGCGUGGGGAUCAAACAGG
rnacentral:rRNA from 1 species